rnacentral:rRNA from 1 species
GACGAACGCUGGCGGCGUGCUUAACACAUGCAAGUCGAACGGACAGGCCCUGCUUUUGUGGGGUGCUCGAGUGGCGAACGGGUGAGUAACACGUGAGUAACCUGCCCUUGACUUUGGGAUAACUUCAGGAAACUGGGGCUAAUACCGGAUAGGAGCUCCUGCUGCAUGGUGGGGGUUGGAAAGUUUCGGCGGUUGGGGAUGGACUCGCGGCUUAUCAGCUUGUUGGUGGGGUAGUGGCUUACCAAGGCUUUGACGGGUAGCCGGCCUGAGAGGGUGACCGGCCACAUUGGGACUGAGAUACGGCCCAGACUCCUACGGGAGGCAGCAGUGGGGAAUAUUGCACAAUGGGCGGAAGCCUGAUGCAGCAACGCCGCGUGCGGGAUGACGGCCUUCGGGUUGUAAACCGCUUUCGCCUGUGACGAAGCGUGAGUGACGGUAAUGGGUAAAGAAGCACCGGCUAACUACGUG